UGGGAAUUUGGACAAUGGGCGAAAGCCUGAUCCAGCAAUGCCGCGUGUGUGAAGAAGGCCUUCGGGUUGUAAAGCACUUUUGUCCGGAAAGAAAUCCUUGGCUCUAAUACAGUCGGGGGAUGACGGUACCGGAAGAAUAAGCACCGGCUAACUACGUGCCAGCAGCCGCGGUAAUACGUAGGGUGCAAGCGUUAAUCGGAAUUACUGGGCGUAAAGCGUGCGCAGGCGGUUUGCUAAGACCGAUGUGAAAUCCCCGGGCUCAACCUGGGAACUGCAUUGGUGACUGGCAGGCUAGAGUAUGGCAGAGGGGGGUAGAAUUCCACGUGUAGCAGUGAAAUGCGUAGAGAUGUGGAGGAAUACCGAUGGCGAAGGCAGCCCCCUGGCAAGUACUGACGCUCAUGCACGAAAGCGUGGGGAGCAAACNGGAUUAAUCCCUGGUAGUCCACGCCCUAAAANGAUGUCAACUAGUUGUUGGGGAUUCAUUUUCCUUAGUAACGUAGCUAACGCGUGAAGUUGACCGCCUGGGGGAGUACGGUCGCAAGAUUAAAACUCAAAUAAUUGACGGGGUCAUGCU
rnacentral:rRNA from 1 species